UGCUGAUCAUAGAGUGAAGCUCCAGGAAUUAGAGAGUCUUAUAGCAAACCUUGGAACUGGGGAUGAGAUGGUGACAGAUCAAGCCUUCGAGGAUAGACUAAAGGAAGCAGAGAGGGAAGUUAUGGACCUCCUUCGUGAGGCCCAGGAUGUCAAAGGUACGCAUGAUUGAACAGUGCGUGACUUCUGUGAGAUGGACCAAUCUUUAGAUGUGGCUCCUAAAGCAAGAUGUUGACCAGAAUUUGAUGGAUCGCCUACAGAGAGUGAAUAACACUCUGUCCAGCCAAAUUAGCCGUUUACAGAAUAUCCGGAAUACCAUUGAAGAGACUGGAAACUUGGCUGAACAAGCACGUGCCCAUGUAGAGAACACAGAGCGGUUGAUUGAAAUCGCAUCCAGAGAACUUGAGAAAGCAAAAGUCGCUGCUGCCAAUGUGUCAGUCACUCAGCCAGAAUCUACCGGGGACCCAAACAACAUGACUCUUUUGGCAGAAGAGGCUCGAAAGCUUGCUGAACGUCAUAAACAGGAAGCUGAUGACAUUGUUCGAGUGGCAAAGACAGCCAAUGAUACAUCAACUGAGGCAUACAACCUGCUUUUGAGGACACUGGCAGGAGAAAAUCAAACAGCAUUUGAGAUUGAAGAGCUUAAUAGGAAGUAUGAACAAGUGAAGAACAUCUCACAGGAUCUGGAAAAACAAGCUGCCCGAGUACAUGAGGAGGCCAAAAGGGCUGGUGACAAAGCUGUGGAGAUCUAUGCCAGCGUGGCUCAGCUGAGCCCUUUGGACUCU
rnacentral:sRNA from 1 species